GAUGAACGCUAGCUACAGGCUUAACACAUGCAAGUCGAGGGGCAGCAUGGUCUUAGCUUGCUAAGGCCGAUGGCGACCGGCGCACGGGUGAGUAACACGUAUCCAACCUGCCGUCUACUCUUGGACAGCCUUCUGAAAGGAAGAUUAAUACAAGAUGGCAUCAUGAGUCCGCAUGUUCACAUGAUUAAAGGUAUUCCGGUAGACGAUGGGGAUGCGUUCCAUUAGAUAGUAGGCGGGGUAACGGCCCACCUAGUCUUCGAUGGAUAGGGGUUCUGAGAGGAAGGUCCCCCACAUUGGAACUGAGACACGGUCCAAACCCCUACGGGAGGCAGCAGUGAGGAAUAUUGGUCAAUGGGCGAGAGCCUGAACCAGCCAAGUAGCGUGAAGGAUGACUGCCCUAUGGGUUGUAAACUUCUUUUAUAAAGGAAUAAAGUCGGGUAUGGAUACCCGUUUGCAUGUACUUUAUGAAUAAGGAUCGGCUAACUCCGUGCCAGCAGCCGCGGUAAUACGGAGGAUCCGAGCGUUAUCCGGAUUUAUUGGGUUUAAAGGGAGCGUAGAUGGAUGUUUAAGUCAGUUGUGAAAGUUUGCGGCUCAACCGUAAAAUUGCAGUUGAUACUGGAUAUCUUGAGUGCAGUUGAGGCAGGCGGAAUUCGUGGUGUAGCGGUGAAAUGCUUAGAUAUCACGAAGAACUCCGAUUGCGAAGGCAGCCUGCUAAGCUGCAACUGACAUUGAGGCUCGAAAGUGUGGGUAUCAAACAGGAUUAGAUACCCUGGUAGUCCACACGGUAAACGAUGAAUACUCGCUGUUUGCGAUAUACUGCAAGCGGCCAAGCGAAAGCGUUAAGUAUUCCACCUGGGGAGUACGCCGGCAACGGUGAAACUCAAAGGAAUUGACGGGGGCCCGCACAAGCGGAGGAACAUGUGGUUUAAUUCGAUGAUACGCGAGGAACCUUACCCGGGCUUAAAUUGCAGAUGAAUUACGGUGAAAGCCGUAAGCCGCAAGGCAUCUGUGAAGGUGCUGCAUGGUUGUCGUCAGCUCGUGCCGUGAGGUGUCGGCUUAAGUGCCAUAACGAGCGCAACCCUUGUUGUCAGUUACUAACAGGUUCCGCUGAGGACUCUGACAAGACUGCCAUCGUAAGAUGUGAGGAAGGUGGGGAUGACGUCAAAUCAGCACGGCCCUUACGUCCGGGGCUACACACGUGUUACAAUGGGGGGUACAGAGGGCCGCUACCACGCGAGUGGAUGCCAAUCCCCAAAACCUCUCUCAGUUCGGACUGGAGUCUGCAACCCGACUCCACGAAGCUGGAUUCGCUAGUAAUCGCGCAUCAGCCACGGCGCGGUGAAUACGUUCCCGGGCCU
rnacentral:rRNA from 1 species